rnacentral:tRNA from 1 species
GGAGGAUUAGCUCAGUUGGUUAGAGCAUCUGCCUUACAAGCAGGGGGUCAUAGGUUCGAGUCCUAUAUUCUCCACCA